rnacentral:rRNA from 1 species
UACGUAGGGUGCGAGCGUUGUCCGGAAUUAUUGGGCGUAAAGAGCUUGUAGGCGGUUUGUCGCGUCUGCCGUGAAAAUUCGAGGCUCAACCUCGAACUUGCGGUGGGUACGGGCAGACUAGAGUGUGGUAGGGGAGACUGGAAUUCCUGGUGUAGCGGUGAAAUGCGCAGAUAUCAGGAGGAACACCAAUGGCGAAGGCAGCACUCUGGGACGGUACUGACGCUGAGACGCGAAAGCGUGGGGAGCAAACAGG